UACGGUGAGGGGCUAGCGUUGUCCGGAAUCAUUGGGCGUAAAGGCGCGCGUAGGCGGCCAGAUAAGUCCGGUGUGAAGUCACAGGCUCAACCUGUGAAUGCCGCUGGAAACUGUCUGGCUAGAGUCCGGAAGGGCGAGUGGAAUCGUGGUGUAGCGGUGAAAUGCGCAGAUAAUCAGGAAGAACACCCGUGGCGAAAGCGGCUCUCUGGAACGGUACUGACGCUGAGACGCGAAAGCGUGGGUAGCAAACAGG
rnacentral:rRNA from 1 species